rnacentral:sRNA from 1 species
GCUGGGUGUGGUCAUGAAUGCCUGUAGUCCCAGCUACUUGGGAAGCUGAGGCAGGAGGAUAGCUGGAACCCAGGAGUUUGAGGUCAGCUUUGACAACAUAGUGAAACCUUGCCUUUA